CGCGUCACACGGAUAGGAAGUGGUAGUUUAGUCUAAUACUUUACUGUAAUAUCAUUUUCGAUUUUUAAUAAAAUAUCAUUGACUUUUUUUGAUCGAAAUAAACAAGAAUAUUUGAUAACAAUACGGAAUCGUAUAUGACAAAUACAAGAAAAUCAUUUAUAGAAACGACGUUUUCUAAUGUGUCUUGUUAUGAAUAGAAUAGCAAUAGAGUCUUAACGAUAUUAAUAGAAACAGAUGAUUAGCGUGUAUUCUCAUUACUUUCCAUUUUAAUUAUUCGUAAUCUUUAAAAGAGGUGAGACAUAAGCGUUUCAAGAUUGAAGAUGAUGUGCGCGCAAUAAAUUCAAGCAGUUCAACACGUGCUCGUGCGUACACGUGGACUCAUCGAAAUGUGAGAUAGAAGAGCAUAAGAGGAAGUCGAUUGUCGGGUGCUGUCGAUGCGACGUCAAACAUUUUUGAUCAUCGUCAAGAUACAUAUAACAAACAAGUGGUUAUACACAAAAUGGAGAGUCUCUACACCGGUGCGAUUCAUGGAUUUCAUCAGCCUAACGGAGGAAUGGUGGCAAAUGGAUUUUCCACGGGCAUCGCCAGUUCCUUCGAUCAAGAUGGAGUCUUGAGUCUCAUUGUUGUCCUCGGAGGAAGUCUUUCUUUGGUGGCACUCGUAUUUGCAUUCAUAACUUAUAGUCUGUUCUCCGAUCUGAGAAGUUUGGCAGGUACCACUCUCAUGAAUCUUUUGGCAGCCCUCUUCAUGGUUCAACUCCUUUUCAUCGUCGGCGUAGGAGGUGUUCAGGAUUCGGAGCUUUGCAUUUCCCUCGGAUUGAGCCUUCAAUAUCUGAGGGUAUCGGUGGUUUGUUGGUUAGCUGCGAUGUGCCAUCAUCUCUAUGCCACAGUGGCCUCAAUACCUCGUCGUGACGAUCCUCCUACGUAUCUCAAAUAUAGCGUCUUCGCCUGGGGCGCACCCCUUGUCACUCUUGCCGUUGCUACCCUUGUGCAGAGUCGAGAGAGCAAUGAUUUCUGGAACGUUGUGGAUCUGACGCCGUUCAACUGCUGGUUUCUUGGAACGAACGCAACGGUCUACGCCUACGGAUUGCCAAUCGUCCUGCUUCUCAUGGCCUCCGGAUAUUACCUCGUGAAAGCCGCGAUCGUAUCGAGGUAUACGUGUAGCAUGCAAUUGGAAAUCAAGCAACGCGAGAAAAUGAAGAGGAGGCGUACGUUACAACUGAUGCUUUUCCUGAAGGUCUGCAUGGUAAUUGGUUUCGUGGCAGCUUGCGGUGUAGCUUCGAGGGUAUGGAAGAUGCCUUUUCUAUGGGCUGUCUUUUGCACGGGUCAUUCGCUUCAGGGUCUCUCCGUGGCACUGUCGGUCGCAUGCAAUUGCAGAGUGCUCAAAGUCUACGCGAGAAAAUCGCAUCCUCAACCGCAGCAGAUCACCAAGUCGAGUAGUAGCAUGCAGCUGCUCGCACCUGCUCCCGAUCCAGUCUAGAUCGAAUUCCUCUGUAGGUUUCAAUCUAGACGGUCUCAUUUUAACAACGGAUGGAAGAGAGAGAAAUAGAGAGAGAGAGAGAGAGAGAGAGAGAGAGAGAGAGAGAGAAAGAGAGUGUGUGUGUGAGAGAGAGAGAGGGAGAGAUAGUAUCGAGUGAACAUACCUUGUGAGAAGGAAGGAGGAAAGGAAGUUACGGAGAUAGAUCGUGUCGUCCACGCACCGUCGCUAUUUUUACAUCAAGAUUAGUUCACAGUUCACUUACGAGUUCGUUACCCUGACCUUCCACGUAUCGAUGAUUUAACUAACAAAAAGAGAUACGAAGAAAUAUUAUAGGCCAGAAUAUCAACAAUUGCUUCUAACGAAAGAUCGUUAAAAAUGGUCUGUCUGUUUUAUCAUGUUUAAUACUUUUUUCAGAUCACAACAUCCAAUUGAAGAGUAUGGAACAAAACGCGAAAGCUUCUUACAGAUUUCUUGCGUUUCUUACAGGUAUUUUCAAAAUGGACAUUAGAAGGAACGUAGAAAUAAAUUAUUAGCGUUUUCAACGAAAUCGCGCAUUUUUGUACGAUUUAACGCGAGUGAGAAUGAUAGAUAGAUCAAUCCUUUAGGCUGAAGAACAUAUCAUCGUUUGAAUAUCGACAGCCGAUUAAUAACGGAGCCGGUUGAACCAAGAGUGAAAAUCACUUCGUUGCUUGACUUAGCGAGAGAUUAAUUUCGAACGUACCGUGUAUCGUUCGAGCGUGAAUUAAAACCUAUUUACCGCGUGUUUAUAAGGGCUGAUAACGUACGAUAGAUAGAUUAAACGGGGACACCAGGAAAUAUGAUUGAAAUCAUGUUUGUACGCUAAAUAUAUGCGUGAUCGAGGACGUAAAGACGAUAAAUGGAUAAAAUAUAGUAUUACUCUCGAUCAUUUGUUAAAUAAAUCCCAAAUAUUAAUUGAAAGAAACGAGAAUCCGUAGAAACGAAUUACAUCAUAAAAGAGGAGUUUACGUUUUAUGUCAUUUUAAUUGCAUCGCUAGUUAAUUGCCGACCAUUAAUAUAUCAUUGAUAAAUCAUAUCCGAUUUUAUUUUAUUCAUUUAAACUACUUCAUUUCUAUUUUUUUUUUCAUUUUGAUAUUUUAAAAAUAAUUUACAUUUAGAAUAGCUAAUACUUACGAACCUUUGUUUAUCACAGCGUAAGAAAAAUGACAAGCUUGCGAUGCAGGUAAGUCGUGCGUCAUUUUCAAUAGUAUAUACAAUGAUAUAAUAGAUUUCUUACAGUUUCACUUAUCGUUUAAUUCUUUUUCCUAACGAUGAUAAGGUAUAUCGAUGAAUAUACCUCCAUUUAUUUGUCAAAUUCAUCGAUGAUUAUACGUUUUUCUUAUAUUUUCCUUCGUUUUAUCUCUUCUACUAAUGUCCUUUGUUUCUGGAAGAAAGAAAAAAACAGCAGAUAGUUUUUGUACCAAGAAACGGAUUAGAGUCAAAUUGUAGAAUUUUAGAAUUUCGUAUUUACUCAUUUAUUAAAAAUAAAAAGAUAUAAUUUAGUUUAUUCAGCGAUAUCGGAAAGAACUUUAUAAUUUCAUUAAUUAUGGAAAGUUCGGAAUUAAUAUUUUUAAUCAGCUAGAAUUGCUUGUAACCAAUUUAAAUAUUCGCGAGUACAGUACAAAAAUAUUUGAUUAGUUUUCGAAACUAAAAUUCAUCAUUGAGCGACUCAGAUUCAAGAGUUGCAAGAGUUCAAUUGUUGCAAUUUCAAAGAAUGCGGUUGACGAUGUUUAAUUCCGGGAAUAAGUUUUGUAGGCCAAUAAAUAUAUAAUGGCUCAAAUAAUUAAUCGAAUUUCUAUCCUUUUUUUUUUAUCAUCAAAAUUAUUAACUACUAAUAAUGCACAAGUUAAAUUAAACAAAGCUUUCAUGCAAAGAACUUUGGAAACAAACAAGCGGUGCAUUAACAAUAAGCAAAUACGCCUUAGGUUACAUGACUAUAUAUAUGUUUUCGUACAAUAUCAAUAUUUUUUUAUCGUAAGAUACAAUUCGCUACAGACAGAUAUAUUUACUUUUAAAAAAUGAUCAUUUUGAGCUUCACAUAUAUUUGAAAAAAAAAAAAAAAUAAAUAAAUAAAUAAACAAAUUUUUUAAAUAUUUUCACGUCAAGAUGAAAUGAUGUUACCACAUGAGCAUAGAAAAAGAUCAGCAAAUACAGCUACAUCCAUCUAACGGCAUAUCCGUAACUUUUAUCUACAAUCGUUGGUACACCGUUAGAUGGCCAUACCAUUGCAUGUCGAAUACAGAAUGACUUAAUUGUGUACUUAACAUAAAUUGAUAUGAAUUAACAUGAAUAACGUAACUGCUUAUUAAAAUUCCAUGAAAUUUCAAUUUUCUUUUUUUCUAUUUCUGUUUACAUAUAUCUCCUUCUCUCUAUUUAUUAUUUUUUUCUUUUCUUUCUUUUUUUUUUUUUUUUUAACGAUCCCAAUACAUAUGUAAUGAGCACUUUUCUGUACAAUUUUUUGUAUUAUCUCAUAUAGCUUCUCUUCGCGCGCAUAAGUACAUUAGUAAUCAAACCGAUUAUUAAUUCCUUUUAUCAUCAAUAAUAAAUUUCUUAAUGAUAGUAUUACAAUUAACUGUUCGCGCGAUAUAUUAUUUUUUAAAACCAAAUGAACUUUGAAAAACAGAUCGUAUAUACUAAGUGUAUUAUCAUACAGGUUUUAUUGAUUUUAUUGAUUGAAGCAGUUUUAUUACAAAAGUCGAUCAAAUCUCCCCAUGAUAACCGCAAUCAUUUGCAUUUUGAGGUCUUAUUAUAAUAGAAGUAGCAAUAGAGUAAUAGAUUAUAUGAGCACUUAGAUACACACACUCUAUGGUGUAUCUAGGAAGAAUUAUAAACAAUUGCAUGUCACUGCAUAAGCUACACAAUAAAUUCACUAUAAAAUUUGACCCGAACCAAGAGAUACACAGUAUAAAAACUAUUGCCUGUCUUACAUUCACAAUUUAAUUCUUAAUAAUUUGUAUUACCUUCGCUAUUAAUAAUAAGAUAAAAUGCUAAUAUUUGUUUCAUAUAUCUUGUAAUGCUUGCCUUAUAAAAGAUAUAUCUAUUAGAGGACAAGCUCAUAAAUUCACUGCUUUUAGCAUAUCAAUUAUUUAUCUAAUAUGUGUAUAUAUAUAUAUAUAUAUAUAUGCAUAUAUAUAUAUAUAUAUAUAUAUAUAUACACACACUAAUUCUAAGCCGCACUCAACGAGACACUUACCCUCCAAUAUUAAAUUUGUGACAUGUUUUCAAAUCUUAGACAAUAUUUUAAGAGCUUAUACGUUGGAUAGAGUUUUUCACAUUUUAAUAUUUUAUAAUGUAAGAUAUUGAGCAUCUGAAUAAUAUGUAUUAUAAGAUACAUAAUUAUUGUUUUUAAUAUAAUUUAUCUGUUAACAAUACAAUGAUAAAUUUAUAGAAAGCUAAUGAAAUACAACAUAUCCAUUGAGUGUAGCUAUUAAAAAAGGAACAUGUUUUUUACAUUGAACAAUACUAAGCACAAAAAGCUAUUUAGAAUUUUAGGGUAAAGUAAUUAAAUUUGUGCAAAAUAUAAAAAAAAAA